rnacentral:rRNA from 1 species
AGUGAACGCUGGCGGUAGGCCUAACACAUGCAAGUCGAACGGCAGCACAGUAAGAGCUUGCUCUUACGGGUGGCGAGUGGCGGACGGGUGAGGAAUACAUCGGAAUCUACUUUUUCGUGGGGGAUAACGUAGGGAAACUUACGCUAAUACCGCAUACGGCCUACGGGUGAAAGCAGGGGAUCUUCGGACCUUGCGCGAUUGAAUGAGCCGAUGUCGGAUUAGCUAGUUGGCGGGGUAAAGGCCCACCAAGGCGACGAUCCGUAGCUGGUCUGAGAGGAUGAUCAGCCACACUGGAAGUGAGACACGGUCCAGACUCCUAAGAUAGGCAGCAGUGGGGAAUAUUGGACAAUGGGCGCGAACCUGAUACAGCCAUACCGCGUGGGUGGAGGAGGCCUUCGGGUUGGAAAGCCCUUUUGUUGGGAAAGAAAAGCAGCAGGUUAAUACCCCGCUGUUCUGACGGUACCCAAAGAAUAAGCACCGGCUAACUUCGUG